GGAUGAAACGGACUUUGGCUGCUCUAAUCCCUUCAAAGUAAGGCCUUUCCUCCUCCGUAGUGUAGCGAACGCUGCUGAUCUCGCCACUCCGGUUGGUCUUGACUCCAACGACCCUCUCAUUGGGUCUAGGUGGAAGGACUCUUGUGCCGAUUGGCACCUUGAUAGUGGUCUUCGUCUUAGAUGAUGAUCCUUUGAGGAGUAGGGGUU
rnacentral:lncRNA from 1 species